rnacentral:lncRNA from 1 species
AAUAAAUAAAAUGCAGGCCGGACACGGGAUUUUUUUAAAAACUAAGUAAUGGCAGGCAACAAGACAAUCCCAGAGAGAUGAAGUGACUGACCCAAGGUUACACAGAGUGGAAUCUGUAUCUUCUGAUUUCUCUACUGGCCUGCACUCCAUGUUCUGAGGAGGAAUCCUUGAAGCUACUGAGAUAAUGGAACAAUGGAGUAGAUAGUCCAUUAUAACUCAUCUGGGAUUCUUCUCAUCUUCAAGUGACCACAGGUGGAAACAGUCUGGUAACACCACGCUUCCGAAGGUGAUUGUGGAGCUAGAUUGCUUAACCUUGGGUAAGUC